AUUUUUACUAGUUUAUUUUAUUUUAAAAGUGAAAAUUACUAUUUAUUUUAGUGUGACUUGUUUAUAGUUUCUAAAAUUUUAUUGGUUUCAUUGAAAUUGAAAACAUAAGCGUUGAUUACUAUAAUUCUAGCUAUAGGUUGUGGGUAACCAUUACCACCCUAUUUAACAAACUUCUCAACUUGACCAAAAUUUACGAAUAGCAGCGGAAAGACUUUUUUUCCAAAAGUAGGCUCGGUUGUGGUCUUUAUCUUUAGCUUGUAGGUUGGGGGGGGGGCACACGCCCCUCCCACAAGUCAAUAAGCACACCAACAAUAAAUGAAUUUCUUGUAGCAAAAAAAAAAAAUUUAUGUUUUUUAUACUGUAUACUAGUUUCACUUAU